rnacentral:rRNA from 1 species
UAGUCCACGCCGUAAACGAUGUCAAUUAGCCGUUGGGAGUCUUGUACUCUUAGUGGCGCAGCUAACGCGAUAAAUUGACCGCCUGGGGAGUACGGCCGCAAGGUUAAAACUCAAAUGAAUUGACGGGGGCCCGCACAAGCGGUGGAGCAUGUGGUUUAAUUCGAUGCAACGCGAAGAACCUUACCAGAUCUUGACAUGUCACAAAUUUUUGCGAGAGCAAAAAGUGCCUUCGGGAAUGUGAACACAGGUGGUGCAUGGCUGCCGUCAGCUCGUGUCGUGAGAUGUUGGGUUAAGUCCCGCAACGAGCGCAACCCUUGUCUUUAGUUGCCAUCAUUAAGUUGGGCACUUUAAAGAGACUGCCGGUGACAAACCGGAGGAAGGUAAGGAUGACGCCAAGUCAGCAUGCCCCUUAUGCUCUGGGCUACACACGUGCUACAAUGGCCGUGACAAAGAGUUGCUACUUUGUGAAAACAAGCUAAAUCUCAUAAACGCGGCCUCAGUUCGG